GGACAAACCUCUCAUGCUCACUAUUGAAAGGUCCUGUGCUGAGAUAGAUUUUCUGUUCAUUCCUCAAAGCUGCAAGCAUCAUGGUAAGACCUUCAGCGAGAUAUACAUGGCACUGAAGAAACAAAAUUGCAGGUGGGAGUUGAUUAUCUUUUCCUCCAUCUUUCACCAAAUCUCUUUUCUUCUUCCCUUUCUUUUUACUGAUUUCAUUGCUUGUCAUUGCCCUCAUAUGUGUUCUCUCCGCAAGCUUGAUCAGGAUAAUAUACAUGUACCAAUAGACCAUACAAUAUUCACCAGUAGAAUACAGGUCUAAUUCAAAGCCCAACAUCAGGAAACGGGAAGCAAUCCAG
rnacentral:misc_RNA from 1 species